rnacentral:rRNA from 1 species
UCCGUAGGCGGGUCAUUAAGUCAGAGGUGAAAUCCCACAGCUUAACUGUGGAACUGCCUUAGAUACUGAUGAUCUUGAGUUUUAGUGAAGUAGAUAGAAUGUGUAGUGUAGCGGUGAAAUGCAUGGAUAUUACACAGAAUACCGAUUGCGAAGGCAGUCUACUAACUAACAACUGACGCUAAUGGACGAAAGCGUGGGGAGCGAACAGGAUUAGAUACCCUGGUAGUCC